UACGAAGGGGGCUAGCGUUGCUCGGAAUCACUGGGCGUAAAGGGUGCGUAGGCGGGCUCUUAAGUCAGAGGUGAAAGCCUGGAGCUCAACUCCAGAACUGCCUUCGAUACUGGCGAUCUCGAGUCCGGAAGAGGUGAGUGGAACUCCUAGUGUAGAGGUGGAAUUCGUAGAUAUUAGGAAGAACACCAGUGGCGAAGGCGGAUCACUGGUCCGGUACUGACGCUGAGGUGCGAAAGCGUGGGGAUCAAACAGG
rnacentral:rRNA from 1 species